GGAACAUUUGAGAGCAGAAACUGUAGUUACUGAGCCGCCACAUUACAUUUUAUUCACUCAGCUGGAAGCUCCACGGGAUUGUUGCCAUGUAAACAAUGUCACGGUUACCUGUCAUCUGCUGCACAUUUAAGCCGACAGUCAAAUAUCGUUGGCAGGACGCUGGAUAACUUCUCCUGCAGCAAUCCUGUUGACAACAGUCUCGUCGAGCCUCCGGAUGACCCCCGCCAUGUUUGCAGUGGUGCUGACUUCGCUUCAGCGCGCGGAGAAAGGAGGAACGUCGGCGGCGGGGCCUGCGUCCUGACGUAUAAUGUGAUUCGCUGCAAGUCUUCUUCGUUGGUAGUUUUUUUUGACACUUUUUUACACAGCGCUAUAUAACGAUUGUUUUUGUUUUUCUUCUCUAUGGUUCUCCAUACUAGUCCACAUAUUUUCACAAAAAGCAGGCAAAUAAUUAAAGUUAAACAAAUGACACCAAUGUGUAAAUAUAAGCUUGAAUUUUUGAAACAAAUUGAUUCUUAAAUCUGGAAUCACUGAAGUUAUUUCACAGUCUACAGAGUAUUUGUCCUUUUCAUUUCAUAGUAAUAAAGUGUAGUGAUAGACAUGUUCAGCUCUGGAUUUUGUUUAGGAGCCAA